rfam:Ovis aries breed Texel chromosome 7, whole genome shotgun sequence.
UCCCUGGUGGCUCAGCUGGUAGAGAAUCCACCUGCAAUGCGGGAGACCUGGGUUCAAUCCCUGGGCUGGGAA